UUUUAAUGAGAGUUUGAUCCUGGCUCAGGACGAACGCUGGCGGCGUGCCUAAUACAUGCAAGUAGAACGCUGAUGUUUGGUGUUUACACUAGACUGAUGAGUUGCGAACGGGUGAGUAACGCGUAGGUAACCUGCCUCAUAGCGGGGGAUAACUAUUGGAAACGAUAGCUAAUACCGCAUAAGAGUGAUUAACACAUGUUAGUUAUUU
rnacentral:rRNA from 1 species